rnacentral:rRNA from 1 species
GGAAUAUUGGACAAUGGGCGGAAGCCUGAUCCAGCAACGCCGCGUGAGGGAUGACGGCCUUCGGGUUGUAAACCUCUUUCAGUACCGACGAAGCGAAAGUGACGGUAGGUACAGAAGAAGCACCGGCCAACUACGUGCCAGCAGCCGCGGUAAUACGUAGGGUGCGAGCGUUGUCCGGAAUUAUUGGGCGUAAAGGGCUCGUAGGCGGUUUGUCGCGUCGGGAGUGAAAACACUGGGCUUAACUCAGUGCUUGCUUUCGAUACGGGCAGACUAGAGGUAUGCAGGGGAGAACGGAAUUCCUGGUGUAGCGGUGAAAUGCGCAGAUAUCAGGAGGAACACCGGUGGCGAAGGCGGUUCUCUGGGCAUUACCUGACGCUGAGGAGCGAAAGUGUGGGGAGCGAACAGGAUUAGAUACCCUUG